GCGGGUGUGAUGUAGCGGCUAGCAUCAGAGUUCGCCAAACUCUGCGCGUGGGUUCAAAUCCCUCCACUCGCU
rnacentral:tRNA from 1 species